GACGAACGCUGGCGGCGUGCUUGACACAUGCAAGUCGAACGGAAAGGCCUGCUUUCCCUUGUGGAUUGCGGGUACUCGAGUGGCGAACGGGUGAGUAACACGUGAGUGAUCUGCCCCCAACUUGGGUAUAAGCCUGGGAAACUGGGUCUAAUUCCCGAUAGGACUGCAGGGUGGUGCCUGUGGUGGAAAACGAUUUUCUAGUGGUUGGGGAUGAGCUCGCGGCCUAUCAGCCUGUUGGUGGGGUAAUGGCCUACCAAGGCGGCGACGGGUAGCCGGCCUGGGAGGGUGGACGGCGACAUUGGGACUGAGAUACGGCCCAGACUCCUACGGGAGGCAGGAGUGGGGAAGAUUGCACAAUGGGCGGAAGCCUGAUGCAGCGACGCCGCGUGGGGGAUGACGGCCUUCGGGUUGUAAACUCCUUUCGACCGCGAGGAAGCCACCUGGUUGGAAGGGUGGUGACGGUAGUGGUAGAAGAAGCACCGGCUAACUACGUG
rnacentral:rRNA from 1 species